CAUAUGUAACAGGGUUGGUUAUGUUUCCACUUGCCUCUAAAGAAAUGUGUAUUUGAUGUUCAAGCAUUCUUAUUGGUUAGUUCAAUUCUGAUGACAAUAAGGGGUGUUGUGAUUGGCCCCACUUGCAGAUAGGGGGAGAUCGCGAACGUCAGGUCUUCCCAGUAUGAAAAUGUGAUGCAUGGGAUUUUGUCAUCGACAGCCAUCAACACUGUUAAGCGCUGCACAACUAACGUGCUGUUUCCCAUUUAACAACAGAUCUACUCCUCUGAUGUCAUGGCAGGCAGGUUGGCAGACCAGACUCCUCUGAUGAAAGCAAUAUUCCAAACCGUUCCACCUUUUCAUGCCCGUUCUGUGGAGCCCGCAAUCUGGACCAACAGGAGCUGUAUGGAGAACCACCGCAACGAUCCCAACAUAGUGGUGUGUCCUGUAUGUUCAGCCAUGCCGGGGGGACCCCAGCUACAAGAGCUCCAACUUCCUCCAGCACCUGCUCCACCGGCACAAGUUCUCCUACGACACGUUUGUGAUCAGGAUAAGGGUUGGGGUCUGGGCACUGUGUCUUCUAUUCUUUUGUCAAUAAUCAUAUCCUCUCAGCCAGCAGCAGCCCCUUCACUUCCUGUAUACUGGGGAGGAGGGGAGCUUGGCCUCCAAUAAAUGUUGCAAUUUAAAACCAAUGCAAACCAAUGAGUACUGCAUGGACAUGGUUGUUAUUCGGCAGAAAGUAAAAAUAAAAAUGUAAGGUAUUUCCUUUGA